rnacentral:tRNA from 1 species
CCCUGGGUGGUGCAAACGGUUAACGCGCUCAGCUGCUAACUGAGAAGUUGUUGGUUUGAGUCCACUCAGAGGCA